GACGAACGCUGGCGGCGUGCCUAACACAUGCAAGUCGAGCGGGGUAGCCGGAAGGUGUAGCGAUACAGCGGAGGGGUACCUAGCGGCGAACGGGUGAGUAACGCGUGGGCAAUCUGCCCCCGGGGGCGGGAUAACAGACCGAAAGGCCUGCUAAUACCGCAUGAAGCCGUCCUAUCGCAUGAUAAGACGGUAAAAGGGGAAACCCGCCUGGGGAGGAGCCCGCGUCCCAUUAGCUAGUUGGUGGUGUAAAGGACCACCAAGGCGAUGAUGGGUAGCCGGCCUGAGAGGGUGAACGGCCACAUUGGGACUGAGACACGGCCCAGACUCCUACGGGGGGGCAGCAGUGAGGGAUUUUCGGCAAUGGGCGAAAGCCUGACCGAGCGACGCCGCGUGAGCGAAGAAGGCCUUCGGGUCGUAAAGCUCUGUCUAGGGGGAGAGUAAGGACGGUACCUCUGGAGGAAGGCCACGGGCUAACUACGUG
rnacentral:rRNA from 1 species